rnacentral:rRNA from 1 species
GACGAACGCUGGCGGCGUGCUUAACACAUGCAAGUCGAACGGAAAGGCCCUGCUUUUGUGGGGUGCUCGAGUGGCGAACGGGUGAGUAACACGUGAGUAACCUGCCCUUUACUUUGUGAUAACUUCAGGAAACUGGGGCUAAUACCGGAUAGGAGCUCCUGCUGCAUGGUGGGGGUUGGAACGUUUCGGCGGUUGGGGAUGGACUCGCGGCUUAUCAGCUUGUUGGUGGGGUAGUGGCUUACCAAGGCUUUGAAGGGUAGCCGGCCUGAGAGGGUGAACGGCCACAUUGGGACUGAGAUACGGCCCAGACGGCUACGGGAGGCAGCAGUGGGGAAUAUUGCACAAUGGGCGGAAGCCUGAUGCAGCAACGCCGCGUGCGGGAUGAAGGCCUUCGGGUUGUAAACCGCUGUAGCCUGUGACGAAGCGUGAGUGACGGUAAUGGGUAAAGAAGCACCGGCUAACUACGUG